rnacentral:lncRNA from 1 species
GCAAUGGCCAACGAAGGGAUGAGAGCACGGCCAGUCAUGUCCUAGAAAGGUAGAGAUAGGACGCUCCCGGAAACCAAACCCUCACCCUCUCCCAACAUCUUUGAGUUCUAGAACGAACCCCAAAGAGAUUCGAAAGCAGAGAUUCCUAGAACUACUAGGAAAACGCGAAAAGAAUGCCUUUCGGGCCAAUGGCCUGGAAACCCGUGUCCCCUCGACAAGAGAAUGCAGUGUGGGGACACGGGUCAGUACAGCAGCAGCAGGCGCGACCCCCGAGUGGGGUAGGCGAGUGAGAAUGGGCCGGUCCCUCUGCGCGCGAAGAGCACGCCGGCGCCCACCCCAGCUCCCUGCCGGCAGGGGGCGUCCUCUCCCCCAGCGCAUCGGCUGUCUGUGUCACGGAGGACGCCCAACGGUCCAGCAGAGCCAAUGCACUGGGCCGGAGGAAGCUCUGGUAUCCUGACCCCGGCCGGCGGUGGGGCAGGGGGCUGAAAGCAAGGUGCACCAAACCCGUUCUCCAGGGCCGCUAGCCGUCUGCUGGAGACUCCGAGCUGCUCAGCCAAGGCUUGCAGUAAACACCCUGAGAUUUGCGCUAUGGCCGCAGAGAAAGGCGGGGUACCUAACUCAAAAGAGUCGUUUCUGCCCUCGAGUCUCAGCGUUCAUCUGUACGAUGGGAACCAAGAUUCCGCCCUUGCAUGGCGAGGGUUGCUGCGAGGCUCCUGCGGGAGGAGACGGUGAGACUCCGUGACCAAAGUGCCGCGGCGACGACCUGGCGGGCACGGGAUCCAAAGCGGGAAAGUCUUACCCGAUGAGAUUGGAACAUACAAGGCCAGAGCAGAGAACACUGAGCUCCCCCUCCUUCCCUCAUCGUUCUCUAGAUCCCUGCGGAGUAAGUGAAUGCCGAGGCGGAGAGAGAAAAACGAAAGCAGAAAAGAGGGAGGAGGGGGCCCUGAGGCGGAGGAGGAAGUUUGGCCGCAAGGAGGCACCUCGAUUCCCCCAAACUCAGUGUGAGCCGCCCCCCAUCCCCGUCAGAUCACUAUGGAGAGGGGCAUCAGCCUGCUCUGAACUGUGGACAAGAGUAGGCUGGCGCCUCGGCGUGAUUAGACCGUCUCCUGGGGCCCGCCGCAACCACGCACACCUCCAGCAGAUGGCGCCACAAGGCAGCACAGCCGCAGGAACAGGAGACUUGGAGUCCAGGAAAGGCGAGUGUCCCACAACUUUGGGCCACGAUUCCCAACUACCAGGAAACGGGGAUAUAGAGGAAGUCGCCACUUCCGAUUUAAAAGAAGAAGAAGAAAUUGCAAUGAGAGGGAGGAACGCGGUCCUAAACUGAAAAAACUAAAAUAGGGCUAAGUGCACGAG